rnacentral:rRNA from 1 species
GAGUUUGAUCUUGGCUCAGAUUGAACGCUGGCGGCAUGCCUUACACAUGCAAGUCGAACGGCAGCAUGAUCUAGCUUGCUAGAUUGAUGGCGAGUGGCGAACGGGUGAGUAAUACAUCGGAACGUGCCCUGUAGUGGGGGAUAACUAGUCGAAAGAUUAGCUAAUACCGCAUACGACCUGAGGGUGAAAGUGGGGGACCGCAAGGCCUCAUGCUAUAGGAGCGGCCGAUGUCUGAUUAGCUAGUUGGUGGGGUAAAGGCCCACCAAGGCGACGAUCAGUAGCUGGUCUGAGAGGACGAUCAGCCACACUGGGACUGAGACACGGCCCAGACUCCUACGGGAGGCAGCAGUGGGGAAUUUGGACAAUGGGCGAAAGCCUGAUCCAGCAAUGCCGCGUGUGUGAAGAAGGCCUCGGUGUAAG